UCCUCUUCAACUUCUUCACCGCCGUUCUCAGAUGCCUCCUCGAUCAUCAGAUCCUCUUUUUGUGUCUCUUCUUCCCCAAAUUCCUCUGGGACAGUCGGGCAAUCGUCCAUCGCCAGAUCGUUAACGUCCCCAGCGGGCAUCGACUUGCUCUCGUUGGAAUUUAAAGCAUCACCUUGGGCGAUGGAGUCGACGGCCUCCUGGAGCCGGAUGACGCGGCGGAUCACUUUCUUGCGAUACUCCCGGACGCCGCGGACGGCAUCGAGCCGCAGCAGCAGCGCCAUCAGCAUCUCACCGAUCCGCAGCCUUUCCUUGGCGUCUUCGCGGAUCUUAAUCGCCGAGAUCUGGUGCCCGAUCUCCGCCGCCUCUGCGGCGAUCUUCUUGAUGAUCUGCAUGUUCUUCCUCACCAGGAAGCCGCGGAGGAUCUUCUGGAUCGUGACGGCGGCCGACGACCUGUCGGGUUCUGGUAAUCGAUGCUUGUCGUCGGCGAAGUGGACGGGGAUAGAGAUGACCCUGGAUUUCGGUGCCGGUGAGGGCGGCGUCGGGCGCAGGAUGGGACGGGGAGAGUAGGCGCGGCGGGCAGGGAAGAAUAGGUUCUCCAUCUAGCUCUCGCUCUCAAUUUCG
rnacentral:misc_RNA from 1 species